rnacentral:rRNA from 1 species
AGAGUUUGAUCCUGGCUCAGGAUGAACGCUAGCGGCAGGCCUAAAACAUGCAAGUCGCGGGGGAACGAUGUCUUCGGACAGGCGACGACCGGCGCGCGCACGGGUGAGUAACGCGUAUACAACCUACCUUUAACAGGAGGAUAGCCCCGAGAAAUCGGGAUUAAUACUCCAUAACAUCGUUUUACCGCAUGGUAUUUCGAUUAAAACUCCGGUGGUUAAAGAUGGGUAUGCGUGACAUUAGUUUGUUGGUGAGGUAACGGCUCACCAAGACUACGAUGUCUAGGGGUUCUGAGAGGAUGAUCCCCCACACUGGUACUGAGACACGGACCAGACUCCUACGGGAGGCAGCAGUGAGGAAUAUUGGUCAAUGGACGCAAGUCUGAACCAGCCAUGCCGCGUGCAGGAUGACGGCCCUAUGGGUUGUAAACUGCUUUUAUGUAGGAAGAAACCCCCUGACGUGUCAGGGGCUGACGGUACUACAAGAAUAAGCACCGGCUAACUCCGUGCCAGCAGCCGCGGUAAUACGGAGGGUGCAAGCGUUAUCCGGAUUUAUUGGGUUUAAAGGGUUCGCAGGCGGAAAAUUAAGUCAGUGGUGAAAGCCUACAGCUCAACUGUAGAACUGCCAUUGAUACUGAUUUUCUUGAGUAUAGUUGAAGUGGGCGGAAUGUGUCAUGUAGCGGUGAAAUGCAUAGAUAUGACACAGAACACCGAUAGUGAAGACAGCUCACUAAACUAUUACUGACGCUCAGGAACGAAAGCGUGGGGAGCGAACAGGAUUAGAUACCCUGGUAGUCCACGCCGUAAACGAUGAUUACUCGUUAUUGGCGAUACAAUGUCAGUGACUAAGCGAAAGUGAUAAGUAAUCCACCUGGGGAGUACGAUCGCAAGAUUGAAACUCAAAGGAAUUGACGGGGGCCCGCACAAGCGGUGGAGCAUGUGGUUUAAUUCGAUGAUACGCGAGGAACCUUACCAGGGCUUAAAUGCAGAACGACAGUCACCGAAAGGUCUUUUCUUCGGAACUAUUUACACGGUGCUGCAUGGUUGUCGUCAGCUCGUGCCGUGAGGUGUCGGGUUAAGUCCCAUAACGAGCGCAACCCUUAUCCUUAGUUGCCAGCGGGUCAUGCCGGGGACUCUAAGGAGACUGCCAGUGUAAACUGUGAGGAAGGUGGGGAUGACGUCAAAUCAGCACGGCCCUUAUGUCCAGGGCUACACACGUGUUACAAUGGCCGAUACAAAGGGCAGCUACCAGGUGACUGGAUGCUAAUCUCUAAAGUCGGUCUCAGUUCGGAUCGAAGUCUGCAACUCGACUUCGUGAAGUUGGAUUCGCUAGUAAUCGUAUAUCAGCAAUGAUACGGUGAAUACGUUCCCGGGCCUUGUACACACCGCCCGUCAAACCAUGGAAGCUGGGGGUACCUGAAGUUCGUAACCGUAAGGAGCGGCCUAGGGUAAAUCUAGUGACUGGGGUUAAGUCGUAACAAGGUA